UACGGAGGAUCCAAGCGUUAUCCGGAUUUAUUGGGUUUAAAGGGUGCGUAGGCGGAAUAGUAAGCCAGUGGUGAAAGCCUGUCGCUUAACGACAGAACUGCCAUUGAUACUGCUAAUCUUGAGUAUAAUUGAAGUGGGCGGAAUGUGUCGUGUAGCGGUGAAAUGCUUAGAUAUGACACAGAACACCGAUUGCGAAGGCAGCUCACUAAACUAUAACUGACGCUGAGGCACGAAAGCGUGGGGAUCAAACAGG
rnacentral:rRNA from 1 species